rnacentral:misc_RNA from 1 species
GGUCAUUUUACGAAAUCCAAUGUGGGAAGUGGGAACGCUUACGUAGCUACAUGCUCUCUGAAACACAAUCUCACUUGACAAACCAUAUACACAAGGCAAAAAAAAAAAAACCCCCCAAAAUUGAAACAAACUACAAGCUGCCUGCGUUGAGUAUAAAAUUGGCGUCACAACCUCACUCUGAAAUCUCUUUUGCUAUUGACAAAUUUCACACCGAAAGCCGAUUUCAUGACCUAUCUACAUAAAUUAGUAGUCACAUAUUUGUUGAAAGUUUCUCUCUCCUCAGUGCUGCCACUGGAGAAGACUUUCGUCAGUUGGGGAGCCAGGUAUAAAAGGUACAAAACCCCGGCCACCAAAAACAGGCCGCAUGAAGGCGUCAUCAAAUUUUCGCCAAUAAUGGUGGACAGAGUGAGAAGAGGUGCUCAAGAGCAUUCUUAAACUGGUUGGGCGGGAAACAUUGCAGCUGCCUUUGUUGUCCUCUAAAUCUUGCCCAUUGAGAAGUGGCGCAGUGAAGGAUUUAGGACUAGACGGCUCAGAAGACAACAUGCUGGAAGUGUGUUUUGGAGAUGGAAGCAAGAUCCUCACUAGUGGUUUUGUCAUCAACCCGAACACCACUGUGCUGAAAAGGACAACUGUAAUGGUACUGGUGAUCAUGAUUGCACUCCCACGCAACUGCGUAUAGCCUGAAUUGGUAAACUGAUUAUAAGCAAGAGCC